CCAAUAUUAACUCCCUUCUCUGAGAGAGUAGCCUUGCUAUGAGUGGAUGCUCCAGGCCUCAUAUUUCAGACUUUUGAUUUUCUUGAGCAGAGUUCUGGGGGCAGUGUCUAUGAAGGGAAGCAAGCUAAGGACCAGAAUGAACCAGAGACCAGUAUUCUUUCCAAGUGAGUUUAUCUCUGUUUGCUCAGCCCAGGGGCUCUUUUGGUUGUACCCUCCAACAGUCUUUACAGUUCCUAUCUGAAGUCAUCACAGGUAAGUUGAAAGAAGGAGACAGCUCCUCUUGCGGCUCAGUUAUUUUUAAUGACAUGGAACCCCCUUGAUUGUGGACCCUAUGUACUUGUAGAGGACAGGACCAGUCUGGCUCAUAGACUCUUAGCCGAUUGCAGGAUGAUGUUGGUCAGUAUCUUGAGAGCAGACUAUACCCUAUUUUAAACCAGGCCAACAUUGUGAAAGCUACUAUAAAGACUAAGGUAAGCACAAUACAGUCUUUUUGUCACCAGAGAAAAGCCGUGGGGUUCUUGUCUUUAUGCAAGAAAGAAUUUAGGCAUGAGACAGAGAGCAGAGUAGCAAGGUUUUAUUGAGGACAGGGCAUCUGUAAGAAUGGAAAGCACAAAGAGAGAGAGAGAGUGCUCAGUUGCUUGGACUGGGGGAGGUGAGGUUACUUGGUUAAAUGGAGAGAAUACAUCUGGAGGGCCAGGUAGGUGGCGCAGCAGAAAGCAGAAAGCUGAGCCCGAGGUCUUCGUUUAGACUCCUGCUUUUUAAGGGGAUCUCUCUUUACCUCCUCCCCCUUCUCCUCCAGGACAAAGGGUUUGCUGAGUGUAAUAAGUUUGUUAGACAGGAAGUCUUGCUGGCCAUAGGGCUUUCCCCCAGGGUGCCUGACUUGGAGGAGAAUAUAGAGGUUUUAUUGCUCCAUGUUAUCAGGCCAGGUAACCCAUUUGGUGCUAAAGAGAGAGCUGUCCCCUGGGAGAAGGGCUAGGACCACCACCUGAAAGGUUAUCAGGGUCUGGGCAGGACUUGGAAGUGCAGAUGCUGGGCUGCUUCUAAAGUGGGCUUCUGCAGAUGCCGGCUUCCUCAGGCCCCUCUUGCACACACACAGUCUUAUUUCAACUUCCUCCCCAACGUUUUCUCUCAAAGGCUCUCUGCUGCCUUGGUUCUUAACUCUUGACAUUUAUAAGAAUCCAGUGGAAAUUUGUUUACAAUUUUGAUUACUACCUUCCUCCCAAGCUUCUAAUUUCACAGGUCCUGGUGGAAUUCUGAGCUCCACAUUUUUAUAAAAGUCCUUAGGUUAUUCUUUUCAAGAAUCCCAUUCUGAGUAGUACGUAUUUAACAAGAGGGAACUAGAAAAGCAGAAGAGGAAUGAUGAUGAGUAGGACAAAAGGAAAUCUUUCAUCCUAGGAUUUCCAGCAAUUAUGCUCAGACAGCAAACAUUCCUUAUGUGUACCCAUGCAUAUAUUACAUGCAUUGUUCUGCUUUUAUCCAGGAGGUAAUCACACAUACAGUUUACACAUUUGCCUUUCAUUUGCACCUGCUGAAGAAAUGGCAUGCUUGUGCAUGCAACUGCUGAGUUCAGCUUGGGGAAUCCUAAUUGAAAAUGCACAACUCAAAGCAAGAGACAGGCAUAAUAAUGUAGAAAGGGUCAGUAGCCAGAUGUAUUAUUUUCUCUUAUAACUACGCUUUUCUACUGGCAGAAAAAGAGGCAGUAACAUCCCAGGUAUAUGUGGUUGCCAUAGGGAUUGUGAUUUACCGGAAAACAUUGCCACAAAUAGCAAUGAAAUAGCAAUUCGGAAGAGGUCAGAGGCACAGAUUUGCUGAAGCUACAAUCAAACCAGACAGCUGCUCAAUCCAUUCAAUAAGAAUUUUGCAGUUGCCAUUGUAAGGAAAAGACUUGGAAAGCAAGUUAAUGCCUAGCUGCAGGUGGCAUCAUGUGCCAGAGAAAUACUACUGAGGCACAUGUUUGUCCCCAGGAGACCCACUUGCUUCCUCAUCAUUACAGUGUCUGGGUCAAAAACACUCAUGAAAAUCACACAGAAGCAGUAAAACCAUGUCUCUCUUAAGUCCCUGUUGCCUCCCUUCUGAGUCACUAACCAAGCCCAGUCACCCCUGAGGCACCCAGAAUUCCUCAGAAAUGUGUUUCUGUCUGAUAAAGAGCUGGGAAUUCUAUUCAGUGACACAUUCCGCCUUGAAAUGACUCAGAGAGUCACAGAGUGCAUAACCUCACAUCGAAAGAACACGUCUGAGUCACCAAGGAUCAUUUCAGUUGACAGCACGUUGUGCCACUUAGUGUUUAUGCCAUGGGCAGUUGCUGAAAAUCUCUGCAGAGCCUCCCUCUCUACCCCAAAGAUCAUAAUAUUUUGAUGGCCACACAAUCUGUAGGUUCUAGCCUGGAACAAAGAAGGCUGAAUCAAUAAGUUAAAUAUUACAGUACACAAGAGAGGGGGACUGAAAUGAAAUCAGCUGCCUCAGUAAACAGCUCAACAUCCUAUGGAGAUUGAAGUUUUCCAUUUCCAUUUCAUUUCUAACUAGCUGUGUGAUUUUGGACAGUUGCUUGGCCUGUGUGAGCCAAUUUUAUGAUAUUUACAGAAAGGAGCUUAUUGAAGCACACUAGGUAGCUCAGAAAUUGUUGAGCAGGCAAGAGAACCAGACUCAAAGCUAAGUUUUCUAAAACAACGAUGAAAACCAUGCUGCAGGAGUGAGUUCAUGAGGACCCUCCUGCUGCUGCCUCCUCUGCCAGCGAGAACCCAUCUUCCAGAGCUUGAUCUUCCUACAGCUGCAAUUUCCUCUUGCAAACCGGGACUCUUCUAUCACCACCCAUGCCAGCAACACAAAUACCCCAAAAAGCCUCCACACUGCUACUGCUCACAUACAAGAGGAAGUCUCAUGCAGGUGCAUCUGACUGGGAGCAGAAUUAUCAACACGGGAAAUUAUGAAAAUGUAAGGAGGGGUUCAUAACACAUCAGGCAGCCACAUAUGACGGAUGUUCACAGCUGCCUUCCAAAGUGGUGAGAAUGCUCAGUGAGGUCACGUUGUAGAGCAUCCUCCACAGUGCCUGAGACACAGAGGCAGCAAAAUAGCUUUGUUUCCUUUCAUUUCAUCUCUGGUGAGGAAUUUAAAAACCCCACUCUGUAGAGGUUCAAGAGUGAUGUUAAGUGUUUUGCCUGUGUGGUGCACCUCAUAGUAUGAUGCUGAAUGUCUUUCCUUAUUGGAUCAGAGAAAUGGUUUGAGUCUCUGCAGGCUCUUUUGAGGCUUAUUUUUGCUAACGUAUUCAUCAGCAUAAAGGCCUGGAAGUCACAGGGCAAUGGGCUGCUUUUUUCCCCCCUGAUCACAAAGCAGAGAAGAGCUUCUUUGUCCCUUGAUUCUCAAAGCUUCUGGGAGUCCAUCUCCAGGUGGAGCUGGUACAGCCCCAUCGGUCUCCAUGAAGGUGGACGUUCUUAGGCCUCUCAGUGCUGACCCUGUGGCGAGUAGGUCAGGUCCCUCUUAUCCUCAGCUGAGUCAAAGGAUUGUCCUUUGUGCUUAGGAAGAGUCAUUUUGCCUGUCCCCAGGAAACGGGCAUAGAAAUAGAGAGGUGAGAGAAAGUAAUAUAUUCCCUUCUUCCCUCUAGGGCACAUCUUCUAAGGGGCAGGGUGCUAGAUUGGUUCCGUGGUGACCAUGACUUAAGUAGGAUGUUUGCCAGAGGUUCACACAGGUAAGUCACCUCUGUCAUUAAGUUGGGUUCAGAAGCAAGGGAUAAUGCCAAGAAGGUCAAGGACCAGAUCAUAGUGAGAGAGGAGUUGAAUGCAAGCCAUGGUGAGGCUCUAGGAUGACUGGUCCAUAUUUUGAUGGUGAAGACCGAAAUGUUUUAACAUGUGCUGCCUAGUGAUGAGACAUCCUGUAGAGAUUAUUAUUUGUGUAGUGAUCUGCAGCUCAUAAAGUCAUUUCACAUAGUUUAGCCUAUGUGAUCUAAAUAAUAUAAUGUGAGAAAGGUAGCUAGUAUUAUUUGCUUUUACAAUGUCACAACAAUGUUGAGUAGAAUGUAAGGGAUUUUGACCAAGGUCAUAUGGCUACUGUGUGGACUCAGGGCUCAAAUUAGAUGCCUUUUCCUUAUUUAGACACUUGAGCUUUUACUUAGCAAGUCCUUGAAAGAAUUUAAUAAAUGUAACAGGCCAAAAUAUGGGAGGAAAAUGAAGUCUGCAAGUUUUACUAAUUUUAUCUUAUAUGGGCUUACAUGGUGGGGGGGGGGAUUUUAAAUUAGAUCUCUUGCCUUAGAGUCAUUUUCUUUAGCCUAUCCAGCAAUGCUUGAGCUAUACCAAUGUGAUUUAAAACGUGCCUUUUUUUAAUAUAAUAAAGCUGGCUCACAGAGGCUAAGCAACUAGUUAGAGAUGAGAUGAAGUGGAAGAGCUGUGAUCUUCACAGAUGUUGAACUCUGGGCUGAGACAGUUUAUCUCAUUUCACUCACCCUCUCUUGUGUAUGGUAAAGGAUAUUUUUUUAAGUUUCUAAUUGAAAAUGCCAGAAUGAUGCAACCUUUGCUCUUCAGCUGUACUGAAGGAGGUUAGGGACCUUCUGUCUCAGAGUUUGUUUAGUUGUAUCGUUUUUCACACCACCCUUAAUUCUGAGAGUAGCUGCUAGUUAAUUGUGAGACAUACUGAAUUCUUUUAAUUCUCAGAAAUUUGUCCAUCCUUGGCUAUCCAGGUGCUCAGUGGAAAAGAAAUGACGACAGGCCCUCAAGGAAGACAUCCUACACUUUGGUCUGCUGAUUUUAAGUCACACACCAGUUUAGCUAACAGAUUGCUCAUGGCUUGUGAGGGUCUUGGUGCCCCAGGUAGUAGAACUACUCCGUGUUGUUACCUUGUGUGGCUCAAACAAGGCAUAAUCAGUGUGUGUGGGGAAAACCACAUUCUUCUGACUGAAUAGCCACUUCUCUGGGUUCAACAAUUCAUUGUUCCUCAAGCCAAAUACCGCUUGAUCCCAAUGUUUGCAUAUAAACCACUAUUUAGAGCAUUAGCUAUUAAUCCCAUUGCAUCACUUACCAAUCCUCACAGAAGAAAUAUUGCACAAUAUCUAUAGCAUAGCUCAUCUAGCUCAAAAUGAAUUUCCUGAAGUUUGCCAUAUUUUUCUCCAAUCCUAUUUUGUUAUAGUGACAUGUUUUUAUUGACCUACAAUCCAUGGCUACAUAUAAAUGAAUUGUAUAUCAUCUGGGGGAAACAUCAGAAUUCUCUGGAAAUCUCUUUCCCCAAAGUACAACCACUGAGAUUGUCUGUCUCCUGUGUUAAGUCUCCUCCCUUCCCUAGUUAGGUCCUUCUGAUUGAGAGUCUGCGGGUAAGGAAAGGAUCACCCUCCUAAAGUUUCCUCCCAAGCUGCUGGCCCUUUGUGCUUGGUGUUUAGGACUCCUCCAAGUUCUAAACCCAGACAGAGAGUAGUGGUGAAAGGUAAGACUGUUCCUCCCUGGCUGGGUGGUUUUGUGCUCAAUAGUUCUAGUCCCUGAUUCCACCUAUGAGAGCUGGGGGACUGGCUGGAGACCAGUCUACAUGUAUCAAUGUGAUGCUUCCAUAUCUGCUUCCAACUCCAUGACUCGAGUGGACAUCUCUCUGCCCACAGCUAUGCACAGUCAGUUCAAAAUUACAACCUGUUUUUGACAGGAUUCUGAAGAGAUCCUUGCACAGAGUUCUCUCCUGCAAGACUCACUUGUUCUAGGAAAGCACCACAUGUCAUUUGCUUUCAGAUCAACGUGUGCAGGCACUGCAGACACUCCCAGAACUGCUUUCCAGGUCUUUUUAGACCCUAGAUUUUUGAGGCCAGAGCAAUGUUGAAGUUGUCUGAGAGGCCCAUUAUGGCUCCCAUCACUAAACUUGCAGUGAGAAGGAAGCAUCACUCCCACUUGAAGAUGGGGCAGCGUACCUCACAACCUGUGACAGGUUGUCUCGUAAUAAAUCUCACCAAUGCCCUGCCUGUCCUUGCCAAAGCCUUUUCCUACUCCUAAUCAGACCAAGGAACCGAGAGUCAUGGAGCUAUCUUGGGGACAUUUCUUCAAGUAAUCUGAUAGUGGGGGAAUCACUCCCACAUUCACUUUAGUGUCAAAUUGCCAUCUCAGUGGAAGCUAAUGCAGGAAAAGUCCCAUUCAACCCUCUUGUUACAUACUGUGUUAUACACAUAAUAAAACUACCAGGCAGGUGAUAUUAAAGAAGGGGCAGACUGUCCCUUUCCAUGAGGAAAAGAGGUGGCAAAACCCAACAUAAGAAGCUAUUUCCAAUUUCUGUGUUUAUGAGAUUUCUAGAUAAUCCCAGUCGGGAUGCCAUUCUUUAUCCCAUGCUGGCUGGGAGUAUCACAUUGCUUCCUUUUGGUACCAGCAUAGAUAGCUUGAUACCAAGGAAAGAGCACAUAGUAAGUGCUUCCAAGGACAAAGUAUCAUUCCCAGUUUGUAAGGCCUGUGAAUGAAAGCUUGCUGAGAUUCCAUUCAUAUGUCUCUAUGACUUCAAUCAGGGCAAAUACUUCAAAGCAUAGCAGGCAAAUACAACAUCAGAGCAUCUUAUCUUAAAUAACUACAUGUUUAGCACAAGAGUUCAGUUCAAAUCAAGUCAAAAGCUUUCCAUUAAAACAAACAAAAAAAAAACCUUUUCAUUUUCAGUUCCUUUACUAACAUGAAAUGAACACUUUCAUCCAUGUCUUCCCUCCAUGCACUCUGGCUCUCUUGCAAACAUUUGGUUGCAUGUAAAUGCUUUCAAGUCCCCAAGAUCAUGCAAUAUUUUGCAGCACAAUCACCCUAAAAAUACAGUGAAUACAAGCAGUUCUCCCUCAAAAUCUGCACAAAGGCUGUCCAGGUUCAGAAUCUACAUUAUUUAGUAAGACCUUUAGUUUCUCACUCUAACAUGUGAACAAUAGGUUAAUGGUGAUUUUGUGUCUCUUCCUAGAAAUUGUUACUGGGCACAUUUUGUUCUUUUUAAAAAAAUAGUAUAAGGACCACUUGUUUUACUUUUCCAGAUCAAAUGAACAUUCUGACUUAAAUGUAAAUUCACAUUUUGUUAUAGAUACUAAAAAUAGCUUAUGCUUUCAAAUUGGCCAGUUUUUCAUUUCUUUCUUUGGGUCUCUGAGAGGAACAUGUAAUUCCUUACUGCAUAGCUGAUAUCAAGGCUUGGUAUUGGUGCUAAUGUUUUCUAUACUAACUUGUUAGCCUUCUAACAUUUUUCUGAACACUGAACAGCAAGGUAUUUCUGAAAUAAAGGCAUGGGCUCUGAAACCUUCUGCCUUUCAAAAACAAAGGAAUAUCUACUUUAAAGUGGAGAACUGUUGGAUUCUCAUACAACAUCAUCUUGAAAAGCCACUGGAUAAAUUAUACAAAUAUUAGAUAUCAAUAUUUGUAAUCAUUGCAAAUGCAGUGUAAUAAUUUUCUUUUUUCUUCCAUAAAUGUUAACUGAGAUCAUCAUCAUAUAGCCUUAGUCUCUUUUUUUAUUUCUAAGGUUCAUUUGUGAUUAACUAUGUUAACAUUCUACCAUGCAUUGCAAAUUAAAUACCAUGAUUUUCUCUUGUAGUUUACUGUGGUGUCUUAUUUAUUUAUUUAUAUAGAAGUUAUGUAUUGGAAAGACAAUUAUGUUCUUUUAUGGCAAAAAAGAAAAAGACAUUUUUGGUGUCCUCAGAUAAGAUUCUAUUAAUCAAUGUUAAGAAAAAAUUUUUUUGCGAUUAGUGCUUAUAUCAGUAAAUACCAACAAAAUUUUUAAUCUGUUAGGAUGGGAAGCCAUCACUAUUGUUCUAGCCCCAUGAAGGCAUCAAGUUAUUAGGAAAAGGGGAUAUGAAGUUAAGAAAUAAUUGAAUAUGCUUUUUGCUUUUCAAGAAUACUAAGAAAUUGAGAACUCAAUAAGAAUUACAAAAAAUAAUAUAACAAUUUAUGCAUCAAAUGUAUUCAACAUUUAGGGAAGGAUAUCAAUGAGAUACUAUUAGUUUAGGAUGGCCUAGAGGCCAAACAAUCUCUACAUCUUGAAUGGUUUCCAUUUUUAUUAUUUCAACAAGUUGUAGACAGUUACUCUAUUAAAUAUUUAUAUGUAAUAUUUUACUUCCUGCAGUGAACUGUUUUCCUAUAGUGACUCAGAAUUGGAUUUGUGAUUGCCACUUACAUUAUUAAUUUUUUGGUGUUUUGGGAUGUUUUUCAAAUUCUUGUUUUGAAUAAAAUCUAUUUUUGUGUACUUUUUCACAAAAAAAAUUGUAAAAGCAUCAAACAAAUGACCUAACAAUGUAUACCAAGAACCUAUAAAAUGAGGCUGGCACUAUGGUGUAGCGGGUAAGGCUGCUGUCUGCAGUGCUGGCAUCCUAUAGGGGCUCUAGUUCAAGUCCUGGCUGCUCCACUUCUGAUCCAUCUCUCUGCUAUGGCCUUGGAAAGGAGUAGAAGAUGGUCCAAGUCCUUGGGUCCCUGCAUCCAUGUGGGAGACCUGGAAGAAGCUCCUGGCUCCUGUCUUUGGGUGGCCCAGCUCCAGCCAUUAAGGCUAUUCAGAGAGUGGACAAGCACAUGGAAGUCCUCUCUCUCUCUCUCUGCCUCUGUAAAUCUGCCUUUCAAAUAAAUAAAUAAAUCCUUUUUUUUUAAAAAAAAGGACCUGUAAAAGUAAGAAAAUCUAAACUCAAAAUUAGUGGAAGAAAAGAAACACUAAAAAUUAAAGAAAUAAAGUUGAAACAAGACACAAAAUGAUCAGUGAAAUAAAGAUGGUAUUUUGAGAAAAUACACAAAACUGAUACACCAUUGGCCCAACUAACGAAAAAAAAAAAAUGAGGGGGAUCCAAAUCAAUAAAAUCAGAUGAAAAAGGAGACGUUACAACAGAUGCCACAGAAAUAAAAAGAACUAUCAGGAAUUACUACAGACAACAAUAUACUAACAAAAUGGAAAAUCUGGAAGAAAUGGAUAGAUUUCUGGACACAAUCAAUCUACCAAAAGUUAGGCACAAAGACAUAGAAAAUCUAAAUAGACAAAUAACCAAGACAGAUAUUGAUUCAGUAGUAAAGAUUCUCCCAAGAAAGAAAAGCCUAGGACUAGAUGGCUUCACUGUUGAAUUCUACCAGACUUUUAAAGAAGAACUAAUUCCAAUUCUUCUCAAGUUAUUCAAAAACAAUUGAAAGGGAAGAAAUCCUCCCAAACUCCUUCCAUGAGGCUGGCAUCACCAUAAUUCCAAAACCAAAAAAGAUAUAACAAAGAAACAAUAGACCGAUAUUCCUGAUGAGCAUACAUGUAAAAAUCCUCAAAAUACUAGCUAAUAGAAUCCAACAAUAAAUCAAAAAGAUUACCCACCCAGACCAAAUGGGAUUAAUCCCCCUAGAUAAAGAUAUGGUUCAACAUAUGCAAAUAAAGUGUUGGAUCACAUUAAAAAAUUGAAGAAUAAAAUCCAUACGAUUAUCUCAAUAGAUGUAGAUAAAACAUUUUAUAAAAUAUUACAGCUUUUCAUGAUAAAAAUCCUAAGUGGAUUGGGUGUAGAAUGAACAUACCUAAACUUAAGCAAGGCAUUAUUUGACAAACCCAUAGCCAGCAUCAUGCUGAAUGAUGAAAAGGUGGAAGCGUACCCAGUGAGAUGCAGAACCAGACAAGGAUGUUCACUUUCAUCAUUAAUAUUCAAUAUAGUUCUUGAAGUUUUAGCUAAAGUCAUUGUGCAAGAAAAAGAAGAAAUCAGAUGGAUACAAAUUGGAAAGAAUGAAGUCAAAUUAUUCAUGUUUGCAGAUGACAUUAUCCCAUAUGUAGGAACCUAGGGUUAAACUAAAAGACUGUUGGAACUCAUAAAAGAGUUGGGUAGAGUGGCAGGAUAUAAAAUCAACACACAAAAUUCAAUAGCAUUUAUAUAUACAAAGAAUGCCAUGGCUGAGAUGAACUUGUAACUUCAGUUCCAUUCACAGUAGCUACAAAAAAUAUUUAAAUACAUUUGGAUAUUUUUCACCAAGGAUGUGACAAAUCUCUACAAUGAAAAUUACAAAAAAAUAAGAAAUACAAGACAUUAAAAAAUGGGCAAACCUUCCUUGUUUUGGAUUAGAAGAAUUAAUAUCAUCAAAACCUCCAUACUACCCCCCAAAUAAUUUAUAUAUUCAAUGCAAUCCCAAUCAAACUACUAAGGGCAUUCAUCUCAAGUCCAGAAAAAAUGAUCCUAAAAUUCAUAUGGAAUCACAAGAGGUUCUGGGGGCCAGCACUGUGGCCUAAUAUGUUGAGCUGCUCCCUCCAAUACUAGCAUCCCAUAUGGGUGCUGGUUCAAGUCCUGUCUACUCUACUUCCUACACAGCUCCCUGAUAAUGCAUCUGGGAAAGCAGCCAAAGAUGGCUCAAGUCCUUUUGCCCCUGCACCCACAUGGAAGACCUGUAUGAAGAUCCUGUUCCUGGCUUUGUCCUGGCCUAGCCCUGGCCAUUACAGUCAUUUGAGGAGUGGAACAAUGGGUAGAAAACAUUCAUUCUCAUUUUCUCUCUCUCUCCUUCAAAUACAUAAAGAAAAUCUUAAAAGCAAGAGACUCCAAAUGGCCAAAGAAAUCUCAAACAAAAUAGCUGGAGUCAUCACAAUACCAGAUUUCAAAGCAGCUAUAAUGAAAACAGCCUAUUAUUGGCAUAAAAGUAGAGAUGCGAAAACUUAACAACUAAACGAUCCCCUGAAAAAAAUGGGUGAAGGACAUGAACAGGCACUUUUAAGAGGAUGAAAUACAAAUGGCCAACAGACACAUGAAAGAAUGCUCAUGAUCACUAGCCAUCAGGGAAAUACAAAUAAAAACCACAAAGGGUUUUAUUUCACUAUAAUUAGAAUGGCUAGCAUCCAAAAUUCAAAAAAAAAUAAUUGUUUUCAAGGAUAUAGAGGAAAAAAGUACUCUACUACUUGGUGGGAAUGUAAACUAGUUUAACUAUUAUGGAAGACAGUAUUGAGAUUCCUCAGAGAUCUGAAAAUAGAGGGAAUUUACUUAAAGGAAAGAAGAUUGGUAUAUGAUAGCUGUAUCCAAAUGUUUACAGUAUCUGAAUUCACAAUAGCUAAGAUAUGGAAUGAACCCAUGUGUGCAUCAAUUUGAUGACUGGAUAAAGAAAAUAUAGUGUAUAUACAUGAUGGAAUACUGCUCAGCCAUAAAAAACAAUGAAAUGGGUACAACUAGAGAUCAUUAUGUUUAGUAAAUAAGCCAGACCCCCAAAAGACAAAAAAUGUAUUUUCUUUGAUUUAAAACUAACAUACAGAGUACAAAGAAAGUAACAUGCAUGAGUGAAAUUGACAUCUUGAGAUGUGAUUAUUGUUUAUAGCCCUUGUUUAUAUUCCUGUGGAACAGUGGUCUUUCAAUAUUCAUUUUUCUUUAAAUAUUUUAUUUAUUUAUUUGAAAGUCAUAAGUACACAGGGAGAAGAGACAGAGAGAGAGAGAGAUCCAUCUUCCAUCUGCCGAUUCACUCCCCAAAUGGUUGCAAUGGCCGCAUCUGAGGCAGGCUGAAGCCGAGUCAGGAACUCAUUCUGGGUUUCUAAGUGGGUGCAGGGGCUGAUGUAUUCGGGCAACCUUCUGUUUCUUUUCCCAGGCCAUAAUGUAUAAGAUGAAAUUGACAUUUUGAGGUUCAAUGAUUGCUUACAGUGCUCUUUUUCUACUGCUGAGGAACAGUGUUCUUUUUCUUAUUAUUUGUUGAAUUCUUUACUUAGUAGGGUUAAUCUUAUGAGUAUAAAGUAAACUGAUAGUAGAUCAUUGUAAAAAUUGAGAGGGAAUAAGAGAAAGGGGGAGGAAGGAUGGGAGCAUGAGCAGGAGGGGAGAAUAGGGUAGGAAGUAUCACUAUGUUCCUAAAUCUGCAUAAAAGUUAGCUGGCGCCGCCGCUCACUAGGCUAAUCCUCCGCCUAGCAGCGCCGGCACACCAGGUUCUAGUCCCGGUCGGGGCGCUGGAUUCUGUCCCGGUUGCCCCUCUUCCAGGCCAGCUCUCUGCUGUGGCCAGGGAGUGCAGUGGAGGAUGGCCCAAGUGCUUGGGCCCUGCACCCCAUGGGAGACCAGGAGAAGUACCUGGCUCCUGCCAUCGGAUCAGCGCGGUGUGCAGGCCGCAGCGCACCGGCCACGGCGGCCAUUGGAGGGUGAACCAAUGGCAAA